GCUGUCGUCAGCUCGUGUCGUGAGAUAUUGGGUUAAGUCCCGUAACGAGCGCAACCCUUGUCCUUAGUUACCAGCACGUACUGGUGGGCACUCUAAGGAGACUGCCGGUGACAAACCGGAGGAAGGUGGGGAUGACGUCAAGUCAUCAUGGCCCUUACGGCCUGGGCUACACACGUGCUACAAUGGUCGGUACAAAGGGUUGCCAAGCCGCGAGGUGGAGCUAAUCCCAUAAAACCGAUCGUAGUCCGGAUCGCAGUCUGCAACUCGACUGCGUGAAGUCGGAAUCGCUAGUAAUCGUGAAUCAGAAUGUCACGGUGAAUACGUUCCCGGGUCUUGUACACACGCAUCUU
rnacentral:rRNA from 1 species